rnacentral:rRNA from 1 species
AUUGGGGCUAAGUCGUAACAAGGUAGCCGUACCGGAAGGUGCGGCUGGAACACCUCCUUUCUGGAGAGAC